GGUUAAGCGACUAAGCGUACACGGUGGAUGCCCUGGCAGUCAGAGGCGAUGAAGGACGUGCUAAUCUGCGAUAAGCGUCGGUAAGGUGAUAUGAACCGUUAUAACCGGCGAUUUCCGAAUGGGGAAACCCAGUGUGUUUCGACACACUAUCAUUAACUGAAUCCAUAGGUUAAUGAGGCGAACCGGGGGAACUGAAACAUCUAAGUACCCCGAGGAAAAGAAAUCAACCGAGAUUCCCCCAGUAGCGGCGAGCGAACGGGGAGCAGCCCAGAGCCUGAAUCAGUGUGUGUGUUAGUGGAAGCGUCUGGAAAGGCGCGCGAUACAGGGUGACAGCCCCGUACACAAAAAUGCACAUGCUGUGAGCUCGAUGAGUAGGGCGGGACACGUGGUAUCCUGUCUGAAUAUGGGGGGACCAUCCUCCAAGGCUAAAUACUCCUGACUGACCGAUAGUGAACCAGUACCGUGAGGGAAAGGCGAAAAGAACCCCGGCGAGGGGAGUGAAAAAGAACCUGAAACCGUGUACGUACAAGCAGUGGGAGCACGCUUAGGCGUGUGACUGCGUACCUUUUGUAUAAUGGGUCAGCGACUUAUAUUCUGUAGCAAGGUUAACCGAAUAGGGGAGCCGAAGGGAAACCGAGUCUUAACUGGGCGUUAAGUUGCAGGGUAUAGACCCGAAACCCGGUGAUCUAGCCAUGGGCAGGUUGAAGGUUGGGUAACACUAACUGGAGGACCGAACCGACUAAUGUUGAAAAAUUAGCGGAUGACUUGUGGCUGGGGGUGAAAGGCCAAUCAAACCGGGAGAUAGCUGGUUCUCCCCGAAAGCUAUUUAGGUAGCGCCUCGUGAAUUCAUCUCCGGGGGUAGAGCACUGUUUCGGCAAGGGGGUCAUCCCGACUUACCAACCCGAUGCAAACUGCGAAUACCGGAGAAUGUUAUCACGGGAGACACACGGCGGGUGCUAACGUCCGUCGUGAAGAGGGAAACAACCCAGACCGCCAGCUAAGGUCCCAAAGUCAUGGUUAAGUGGGAAACGAUGUGGGAAGGCCCAGACAGCCAGGAUGUUGGCUUAGAAGCAGCCAUCAUUUAAAGAAAGCGUAAUAGCUCACUGGUCGAGUCGGCCUGCGCGGAAGAUGUAACGGGGCUAAACCAUGCACCGAAGCUGCGGCAGCGACGCUUAUGCGUUGUUGGGUAGGGGAGCGUUCUGUAAGCCUGUGAAGGUGUACUGUGAGGUAUGCUGGAGGUAUCAGAAGUGCGAAUGCUGACAUAAGUAACGAUAAAGCGGGUGAAAAGCCCGCUCGCCGGAAGACCAAGGGUUCCUGUCCAACGUUAAUCGGGGCAGGGUGAGUCGACCCCUAAGGCGAGGCCGAAAGGCGUAGUCGAUGGGAAACAGGUUAAUAUUCCUGUACUUGGUGUUACUGCGAAGGGGGGACGGAGAAGGCUAUGUUGGCCGGGCGACGGUUGUCCCGGUUUAAGCGUGUAGGCUGGUUUUCCAGGCAAAUCCGGAAAAUCAAGGCUGAGGCGUGAUGACGAGGCACUACGGUGCUGAAGCAACAAAUGCCCUGCUUCCAGGAAAAGCCUCUAAGCAUCAGGUAACAUCAAAUCGUACCCCAAACCGACACAGGUGGUCAGGUAGAGAAUACCAAGGCGCUUGAGAGAACUCGGGUGAAGGAACUAGGCAAAAUGGUGCCGUAACUUCGGGAGAAGGCACGCUGAUAUGUAGGUGAAGUCCCUCGCGGAUGGAGCUGAAAUCAGUCGAAGAUACCAGCUGGCUGCAACUGUUUAUUAAAAACACAGCACUGUGCAAACACGAAAGUGGACGUAUACGGUGUGACGCCUGCCCGGUGCCGGAAGGUUAAUUGAUGGGGUUAGCGCAAGCGAAGCUCUUGAUCGAAGCCCCGGUAAACGGCGGCCGUAACUAUAACGGUCCUAAGGUAGCGAAAUUCCUUGUCGGGUAAGUUCCGACCUGCACGAAUGGCGUAAUGAUGGCCAGGCUGUCUCCACCCGAGACUCAGUGAAAUUGAACUCGCUGUGAAGAUGCAGUGUACCCGCGGCAAGACGGAAAGACCCCGUGAACCUUUACUAUAGCUUGACACUGAACAUUGAGCCUUGAUGUGUAGGAUAGGUGGGAGGCUUUGAAGUGUGGACGCCAGUCUGCAUGGAGCCGACCUUGAAAUACCACCCUUUAAUGUUUGAUGUUCUAACGUGGACCCGUAAUCCGGGUUGCGGACAGUGUCUGGUGGGUAGUUUGACUGGGGCGGUCUCCUCCUAAAGAGUAACGGAGGAGCACGAAGGUUGGCUAAUCCUGGUCGGACAUCAGGAGGUUAGUGCAAUGGCAUAAGCCAGCUUGACUGCGAGCGUGACGGCGCGAGCAGGUGCGAAAGCAGGUCAUAGUGAUCCGGUGGUUCUGAAUGGAAGGGCCAUCGCUCAACGGAUAAAAGGUACUCCGGGGAUAACAGGCUGAUACCGCCCAAGAGUUCAUAUCGACGGCGGUGUUUGGCACCUCGAUGUCGGCUCAUCACAUCCUGGGGCUGAAGUAGGUCCCAAGGGUAUGGCUGUUCGCCAUUUAAAGUGGUACGCGAGCUGGGUUUAGAACGUCGUGAGACAGUUCGGUCCCUAUCUGCCGUGGGCGCUGGAGAAUUGAGGGGGGCUGCUCCUAGUACGAGAGGACCGGAGUGGACGCAUCACUGGUGUUCGGGUUGUCAUGCCAAUGGCACUGCCCGGUAGCUAAAUGCGGAAGAGAUAAGUGCUGAAAGCAUCUAAGCACGAAACUUGCCCCGAGAUGAGUUCUCCCUGACUCCUUGAGAGUCCUGAAGGAACGUUGAAGACGACGACGUUGAUAGGCCGGGUGUGUAAGCGCAGCGAUGCGUUGAGCUAACCGGUACUAAUGAACCGUGAGGCUUAACCUU
rnacentral:rRNA from 1 species